rnacentral:rRNA from 1 species
AGCGAACGUUAGCGGCGGGCCUAACACAUGCAAGUCGAACGGGCUGUAGCAAUACAGUCAGUGGCGCACGGGUGCGUAACGCGUAGAUAAUCUACCUCUCAGUGGGGGAUAACUGGGGGAAACUCUAGCUAAUACCGCAUAAGACCACGGAGUCUUCGGGCUUUGAGGGAAAAGGCGGCCUCUGAAUAUGCUGUCGCUGGGAGAUGAGUCUGCGUCCCAUCAGCUAGUUGGUGAGGUAAUGGCUCACCAAGGCAAAGACGGGUAGCUGGUCUGAGAGGAUGAUCAGCCACACUGGCACUGGAACACGGGCCAGACUCCUACGGGAGGCAGCAGUGGGGAAUAUUGGGCAAUGGGCGGAAGCCUGACCCAGCCACGCCGCGUGAGUGAUGAAGGCCUCGGUUGUAAG